UACAGAGACUGCAAGCGUUAUUCGGAUUCACUGGGCGUAAAGGGUGCGCAGGCGGCCAAGUGUGUCAGGUGUGAAAUCCCGGGGCUUAACUCCGGAACUGCGCCUGAAACUACUUGGCUAGAGCAUUGGAGAGGGAAGUGGAAUUCACGGUGUAGCAGUGAAAUGCGUAGAUAUCGUGAGGAACACCAGAGGCGAAGGCAGAUCUCUGGGCCGUAACUGACGCUGAGGAGCGAAAGCAUGGGGAGCGAACAGG
rnacentral:rRNA from 1 species